rnacentral:lncRNA from 1 species
AAAAUUCCAAAUUCCUUCCUUUUUUGUUGAGACAAAGGUUAUGAAAUGUCAGAUGGUUCAAUCCAUAUAGGAAACCACGGCACUUUGGUUUCAUAUAUAAGAAAAAUGCAACUGACUAUAGGAACCAAAUUGCAGGAACAAACUCUCACCUAGUACCAAAAAUGCAACUAACUGUAGGAACAGAAAAAAAACUGACUGUAGGAUUCAAGAUCAUUACAAGAGACAAAUCACAAGAGCGAAAAUUUGCAGCACAGGAUCAGCAAAAUUUGGUACCAACAGAGCCUACACUUACUCCUCCUUGUCUUCUUCUCGGUUUUAUAGCAGCCCCAGCUCAUCAAAUAGAGGCCACGCCAUUGAUUUAAGAAUCUUAUCAAAUUGUUGCAAAGGAUUAGCUAUCUAUAGCACAUACAAAACCAUUUUAUUAAUCAACCCAUAAAAGAACGCCGUUGCCGUACAGUAACUUCAAUAACAGAUUCAAAGCUAAUCCGGACCAAUUUGUAGCAGUAUAGAGUAUAGACCAUGUGUUGCUGUGUGCAUAUUACUUGUGCAAAUAGACACGCUUCUAGAAAUAAAAGAGAACUUGUGCAUUGCAGAAUGGAACAUGACGUGAACGCCAUUGCAUGAACGCCACCGUCUAAAACAAAACACACAUACUACAUCUUCUCCCAGCUAGGCGGAAAGGGCAAGAGGGUCAAAGGGGGGCGAGGGCGCAUACCUUGUAGCUAGUGACGGCGUGGUCCAAGGCAUCCACGAGCGCCGGGUCGUCCCACACAGAUCGUCGCCCUUCCGCAUCUCCUCUCUCUCUCCAAGUUCUCGUGGCUUCCUCCUCCGACCUGCUGCGCCUUCCCACCAACAAAGAGGACGAAAAAUGAAAGGCGCCUAUGCUCCAGUAGUACCCGCCGCCGCCACAAGUCGAGCUAGAGGU